GCUUGUCUCAAAGAUUAAGCCAUGCAUGUCUAAGUGUAAAUACGUCUACACUGUGAAACUGCGAAUGGCUCAUUAUAUCAGUUAUAGUUUAUUUGAUGGUCCUUACUAUUUGGAUAACCGUAGUAAUUCUAGAGCUAAUACAUGCAUCAAGCCCUGACUUCGGAAGGGGUGUAUUUAUUAGAUGGAAACCAAUGCGGGGCAACCCGGUAUAUGGUGAUUCAUAAUAACUUUCGGAUCGAUCUUCGGAUCGAUGCAUCAUUCAAGUUUCUGCCCUAUCAGCUUUGGAUGGUAGGGUAUUGGCCUACCAUGGCUUUAACGGGUAACGGAGAAUUAGGGUUCGAUUCCGGAGAGGGAGCCUGAGAAAUGGCUACCACAUCCAAGGAAGGCAGCAGG
rnacentral:rRNA from 1 species